rnacentral:rRNA from 1 species
UACAGAGGUCCCAAGCGUGUUCGGAUUCAUUGGGCGUAAAGGGUGCGUAGGUGGCGGGGUUAGUCAGGUGUGAAAUCUCGGAGCUCAACUCCGAAACUGCACUUGAUACUGCCUUGCUUGAGUACUGGAGAGGAGAUUGGAAUUUACGGUGUAGCAGUGAAAUGCGUAGAUAUCGAGAGGAACACCUGCGGCGAAGGCGGGUUGCUGGGCUGACACUGACGCUGAGGCGCGAAAGCCAGGGGAGCGAACGGG